GAGAGUUUGAUCCUGGCUCAGGACGAACGCUGGCGGCGUGCCUAAUACAUGCAAGUAGAACGCUGAAGAGAGGAGCUUGCUCUUCUUGGAUGAGUUGCGAACGGGUGAGUAACGCGUAGGUAACCUGCCUUGUAGCGGGGGAUAACUAUUGGAAACGAUAGCUAAUACCGCAUAACAAUGGAUGACACAUGUCAUUUAUUUGAAAGGGGCAAUUGCUCCACUACAAGAUGGACCUGCGUUGUAUUAGCUAGUAGGUGAGGUAACGGCUCACCUAGGCGACGAUACAUAGCCGACCUGAGAGGGUGAUCGGCCACACUGGGACUGAGACACGGCCCAGACUCCUACGGGAGGCAGCAGUAGGGAAUCUUCGGCAAUGGGGGCAACCCUGACCGAGCAACGCCGCGUGAGUGAAGAAGGUUUUCGGAUCGUAAAGCUCUGUUGUAAGUCAAGAACGAGUGUGAGAGUGGAAAGUUCACACUGUGACGGUAGCUUACCAGAAAGGGACGGCUAACUACGUGCCAGCAGCCGCGGUAAUACGUAGGUCCCGAGCGUUGUCCGGAUUUAUUGGGCGUAAAGCGAGCGCAGGCGGUUUGAUAAGUCUGAAGUUAAAGGCUGUGGCUCAACCAUAGUUCGCUUUGGAAACUGUCAAACUUGAGUGCAGAAGGGGAGAGUGGAAUUCCAUGUGUAGCGGUGAAAUGCGUAGAUAUAUGGAGGAACACCGGUGGCGAAAGCGGCUCUCUGGUCUGUAACUGACGCUGAGGCUCGAAAGCGUGGGGAGCGAACAGGAUUAGAUACCCUGGUAGUCCACGCCGUAAACGAUGAGUGCUAGGUGUUGGAUCCUUUCCGGGAUUCAGUGCCGCAGCUAACGCAUUAAGCACUCCGCCUGGGGAGUACGACCGCAAGGUUGAAACUCAAAGGAAUUGACGGGGGCCCGCACAAGCGGUGGAGCAUGUGGUUUAAUUCGAAGCAACGCGAAGAACCUUACCAGGUCUUGACAUCCCGAUGCUAUUUCUAGAGAUAGAAAGUUACUUCGGUACAUCGGUGACAGGUGGUGCAUGGUUGUCGUCAGCUCGUGUCGUGAGAUGUUGGGUUAAGUCCCGCAACGAGCGCAACCCCUAUUGUUAGUUGCCAUCAUUCAGUUGGGCACUCUAGCGAGACUGCCGGUAAUAAACCGGAGGAAGGUGGGGAUGACGUCAAAUCAUCAUGCCCCUUAUGACCUGGGCUUCACACGUGCUACAAUGGUUGGUACAACGAGUUGCGAGUCGGUGACGGCAAGCUAAUCUCUUAAAGCCAAUCUCAGUUCGGAUUGUAGGCUGCAACUCGCCUACAUGAAGUCGGAAUCGCUAGUAAUCGCGGAUCAGCACGCCGCGGUGAAUACGUUCCCGGGCCUUGUACACACCGCCCGUCACACCACGAGAGUUUGUAACACCCGAAGUCGGUGAGGUAACCUUUUGGAGCCAGCCGCCUAAGGUGGGAUAGAUGAUUGGGGUGAAGUCGUAACAAGGUAGCCGUAGA
rnacentral:rRNA from 1 species